AGAGUUUGAUUCUGGCUCAGGACGAACGCUGGCGGCGUGCUUAACACAUGCAAGUCGAGCGAUGAAGUUUCUUCGGAAAUGGAUUAGCGGCGAACGGGUGAGGAACACGUGAAGAAUCUGCCCUCCACUUUGGGAUAACACCGGGAAACCGGUGCUAAUACCGAAUAUUGAAACAUAAGUGGCAUCACUGAGUUUUGAAAGAAUUUCGGUGGAGGAUGACUUCGCGGCCUAUCAGCUAGUUGGUGAGGUAAUGGCUCACCAAGGCAACGACGGGUAGCCGGCCUGAGAGGGCGACCGGCCACACUGGGACUGAGACACGGCCCAGACUCCUACGGGAGGCAGCAGUGGGGAAUAUUGGGCAAUGGAGGAAACUCUGACCCANCGACGCCGCGUGCGGGAUGAAGGCCUUCGGGUUGUAAACCGCUUUCAGUAGGGAAGAAGCGAAAGUGACGGUACCUACAAAAGAAGCACCGGCUAACUAUGUGCCAGCAGCCGCGGUAAUACAUAGGGUGCAAGCGUUGUCCGGAAUUAUUGG
rnacentral:rRNA from 1 species